CACCGCGGUUAUACGAGAGACCCAAGUCGAUGGUCUUCGGCGUAAAGAGUGGUUAGGAAAUAACUAAAACUAAAGGUGAAUAUUCUCAGAGCUGUUGAACGCUAAUGAGAAGAUGAAAAUCAACUACGAAAGUGACUUUAAAACCCUGACCCCACGAAAGCUAAGGUA
rnacentral:rRNA from 1 species